rnacentral:lncRNA from 1 species
UAAAAUCCUAACACCAAAAAAAGAGAAAAAUCUAAAAUCUAAAACAGAUAACAAAGAAAUUUAUACUAGCCGUAUGCAUCAAUGAUUCUUCAAUGACAUAUGCACCUUCGGUUUCUCCUUCAAUCAUUGUCUCCUUCACUCGUUUUCACAUUCGAUUACAAUUUUUUGCCUUCAAAGAUUCUUCAAAUGUUGUCUCUUU